rnacentral:tRNA from 1 species
GCCCCGGUCGUAUAGCCCGGUCAAGUAUGCGGGCCUUUCAAGCCCGUGACCCGGGUUCAAAUCCCGGCCGGGGCACCA